ensembl:lncRNA
GACCUACUUAAUGGUAUUGCUUUGAAAAAACGCCAAGUUCUAAAAAUGAAGUCGAAAGAAAACAGACCCACAUUUCCUUCCUACUUGCAAGCCUGUCUUUCAAAGCAUCCACUGCCUGGAAGGGCCGUUUGAAAAUCAGAUCCGCCCAGCUCUUUCUCAGAGCCCAGCACAGGGCAGGAGCGGGUAACACCGAGGGAGGGAAGCUUGAAGCGGCUUGCAGCGGGUCUGUUCUCAUCGCGGCCGCUCAUCCCUCCCACGUGUCCAACCCAGUGGGUCUGCGCUGCAGCACGCACCGCUUCAGCCCUGAGACUCUGGCCGGGUUCCAGGCGGUGUAGGCCCUGCUGGAAGGAGCCAGAGGAAUGCCUGCAAGGCUGAGCGCAUUCCGGGGCCGUGUGCAAAUGCUGAUGCAAUCACCGCAGCGUUCUGGGGGCAGCCAGGCGCUGUAACCCCCAGCCCAGCAGGAAGGUCGGUGAUGCAAGCUCGUUCAGGAGAAAGUCCCGGCUGCUGAGACGGACCUUGGGCUGUUGGAGCUGCAAGUGCCUGACUCACGCUUCUCAGCCCAUGCCAGCAUUUCAGAGGGAAGCGAUGCAGUCUCCCCCACUUCUUCCUCUGCUCGCCCCCUGAAGGCAAGCGUCCUUUCUCCGCCUUCCACUGACUACACAUAACUCUCUGGGAGAUCUCAGACACACCCCUCACUCAAACCCUCACCCUUGUGGAUCUCAAGCUGUUUCCAGCCUUGACCUCAUUCCUGAGCCCCUCGCCCACCGAGCCAUCCGGGAGCCCAGCAUCUUCGUCACCUCUCAGCAUCUCACACGUAUCCAGAAGGGGUCUGUUCUUCGGCCUUGGACCCGGCUCUCAGCUCCAGCUUAGUUCAUUUCUAGGUGUUCAAGCCUCCACACGCCCCCUCGUGGUGCAGCUUUUUGGCCUUUUUCAUUCCAACUCCAUCACUGUCAAUUCCGGUGCUCAAGUGUUGGCCAAGUGACUGGCCCCGUUUUCCUUUGCUUCCCACUCCUCCAAGCAAUGCAUUCUUCACACUGCCAGAAGGAUGUGGGAUACUGCCUCCACCAGGUGGUCAUUCCCUUAUGAACAAGUGCAAAGCACAAAAAGACAGACAUUGGCAAGUGUGGGCGAGGAUACAGGGCAGCCCAAGCCUUGGUGCAGAUCCUGGUGGGUGUGUGGAAAGGCAAACAACUCUGGAAAACUGGUUGCAUCCAUUAAAGAGGGAAAUACAUAAUCAUGGCCUAACGAGACUGCUGCAAGAUUCAAACCCAGCAAAUACACAGCCACUAGAGCAGCACUCUCAACUUGUGGGUCACGACCCCUUUUUUGGGGGGGUGUCAAAUGACCAUUUCACCAGGGUCACCUAAGACCGUUGGAAAGCACAGAUAGUCAUUAUAAUUCAUAACAGUAGCAAUAAAAAUAAUAUGGUUGGGGGUCAUGAGGAACUGUAUGACAGGGUCUCAGCAUAUUAGGAAGGCUGUGAACCACUGCCCCAGAGCAUCACAGGGCACUGAAGAAAGGUGCUGUCUGUGGAUGGGGCUGUUACAGAGCAGAAAGAAGAAACCCGACUUGUGUGUAGUGUAAGUCACAUACAUAGGCCCAGAACCAGGGCUAUGAGUUAGCCCACCCCAACAUUCACCCCAUCUAUGAUCUGAAGGAGCACGUGAAGGGGCCUGUUCUGCAGAUCCAAAGCUGCAGGGUCUCCAGGACACAGAGCAACAACAGGAUAACCAUGAGGAGCCCCAGUGAGGGCCCAGUAGCAACAGCAUGGCAGAAACCAGAGGCCUCAAAUCAGACCAAUGACUCUUUGCAAAGAACUCUUGCAAGAAAAGAAAUGUGGACAAAAGGGUCUACUGUGUGACUCACUGUGGCAUACUACAGCUUCCAUGAUGAGAUUUUUCUUUCUUUCUUUUUCUUUUUUCUCUCAAACUUUAUUUUAUUUGACUUUGGUGGGGGAGGCUGCAAGGGCAGAGGGCAUCUGGAUGCAAAUGCACGGGAG